UGUAAAAUCUUAGUGGCGGACGGGUGAGUAACGCGUGGGUAACCUGCCUUACACUGGGGGAUAACACUUAGAAAUAGGUGCUAAUACCGCAUAAGCGCACGAAGCCGCAUGGAUUUGUGUGAAAAACUCCGGUGGUGUAAGAUGGACCCGCGUCUGAUUAGCUUGUUGGCGGGGAACGGCCCACCAAGGCGACGAUCAGUAGCCGGCCUGAGAGGGUGGACGGCCACAUUGGGACUGAGACACGGCCCAAACUCCUACGGAAGGCAGCAG
rnacentral:rRNA from 1 species